GAUGAAGAACGCAGCGAAAUGCGAUAAGUAAUGUGAAUUGCAGAUUUCAGUGAAUCAUCGAGUCUUUGAACGCACAUUGCGCCCCCUGGUAUUCCGGGGGGCAUGCCUGUCCGAGCGUCAUUGCUGCCCUCAAGCACGGCUUGUGUGUUGGGCCCCGUCCUCCGAUCCCGGGGGACGGGCCCGAAAGGCAGCGGCGGCACCGCGUCCGGUCCUCGAGCGUAUGGGGCUUUGUCACCCGCUCUGUAGGCCCGGCCGGCGCUUGCCGAUCAACCCAAAUUUUUAUCCAGGUUGACCUCGGAUCAGGUAGGGAUACCCGCUGAACUUAAGCAUAUCAAUAAGCGGAGGA
rnacentral:misc_RNA from 1 species